CGCGUAGGCGGCCUGCUAAGUCGAACGUGAAAUCCCCGGGCUCAACCCGGGAACUGCGUCCGAUACUGGCAGGCUUGAAUCCGGGAGAGGGAUGCGGAACUCCAGGUGUAGCGGUGAAAUGCGUAGAUAUCUGGAGGAACACCGGUGGCGAAGGCGGCAUCCUGGACCGGCAUUGACGCUGAGGCGCGAAAGCCAGGGGAGCAAACG
rnacentral:rRNA from 1 species